rnacentral:rRNA from 1 species
GACGAACGCUGGCGGCGUGCUUAACACAUGCAAGUCGAACGAUGAAGCAGGAGCUUGCUCUGGUGGAUUAGUGGCGAACGGGUGAGUAACACGUGAGUAACCUGCCCUUGACUCUGGGAUAAGCGUUGGAAACGACGUCUAAUACCGGAUACGAGCUAGGACCGCAUGGUCACUAGCUGGAAAGAAUUUCGGUCAAGGAUGGACUCGCGGCCUAUCAGCAAGUUGGUGCGGUAACGGCUCACCAAGGCGACGACGGGUAGCCGGCCUGAGAGGGUGACCGGCCACACUGGGACUGAGACACGGCCCAGACUCCUACGGGAGGCCGGAGUGGAGAAUAUCGCCCAAUGGGCGCAGGGCUGAUGCAGCAACGCCGCGUGAGGGACGACGGCCUUCGGGUUGUAAGCCUCUUUUAGCAGGGAAGAAGCGCAAGUGACGGUACCUGCAGAAAAAGCACCGGCUAACUACGUGCCAGCCGCCGCCGUAACAC